GCCUACUCUGCCAAAGCCAACCUGGAUCUCAUCUGCGACAAAGACCCCUCCAGCCCUGUGGAUGUGCCUGUGGUGGAGGACAGAUGGCCAUCGGGGCUUUGGUGCUGCCCACCUACUUACUCUGCUACUUGGGAGAAGUAACCAGCAGGGGGAAUGAUCUGCCCUCCCACGCUGGGCAGAGACUCCACGAAGAAGGCUGCAAUCUGUGGAUGAGACACACAUUGGGAACACCACCAGGCAAUUCGGUGUGCCCUGCUGAUGCUGGCUCAGCGGUAGUCCCCAGCAGGACCAGACGCCAUCACUGCUGUACCCUCCUUUGGAGCCCAUGUCACAUCUGAUGGUUUGAGACUCGGGUUUUCUUUUAGGUCUCAAACCAACACUUACAUAUGGAUGCCUCCGUCCCCUUGUUCUUGGUGUGUCCCUAACUAUAAAUUCACUGGUAUGCCUGUUCCUUCCUUCCCCUCUCUGGUGACCCGUACCAAUCUCAUCCCUCCUGCCUUGGACAAAUAUGGUCCCAUUCUUGAUUGCCCCCUCCCUCAUCUAAUCAGUCAUGCUGAUAUUGAUUCUACUUCAGUAACAUCUCUGAACUCACUACUUCCUCUCUGACAUGCCUGCCUCCCAGAGGACUUGCCUGUUUCUGCCUUGGCCUCAUAGUUGUCAUCUACUCAACUGGACACUUCUACAGUGUCUCUCUCACAAGACCACAGGGGUGACACUACAAGCCAGAAAGUUGAACUCUUUGCUGUCCUGCUUAAAACCCUUUACUGACCCCUCUGCUCACAGCCAUGACUUCCCAACUGUGUUCUGCCUGGGAACUGCUUCAGAGGCCAUUGGUAGGAUGUGGGGGGGGGGCUGAUUGGGUGGGAAACUGAUCCUCUACCUCUGCUGCAAACAGAGCAAUGUUCUUUCCAGGUUUUAUGGAAGUGGCUGCACAGCAUCUGAAAUCUACAGGUCAGACUUUCUUGGUCUGAUCCUGCCAACCCUUCUGGUCCCACAGCCCACCUUUCUUUGCCAUGUAUCCUGUGUUUUGCUCUGUCACUCCUUCAGUGAAGUAUUCCAGAAAGUCUUCACCCCAGUCACCAAAACUGCCCUUUGUGGGUACUGUUCUGGGUCACAGCACAUUUCUCCUGUUUCUGCUUGUCCACUUCAUUUCCACUAUACUGCCCUGGUCAGGCUUCCCCAUUGCUCACUUAGAACCAACACAGCCUCCUCAAGAUCCCUCCUCUCAGGAUAUCCCAUUCACAUCCAUCCCACACAGCUGGGAUAGAUGAGAGAACAGCUCAGCCCUGUUAUCGCUCUCCCUCUUAAAGCCCUUCACUGACACUCAUGGUCUCCAGUGCAGAGUUCCAGUCACUCACCACAGCAUUGGGAUCCCCUGGCAGAUGGGUCCUGUCUGCCUCUUCAGGCCCACCUAUCUCCACACCCACAGUUCCUCACCUCUGCACAGGCUAUCCUGUUUAGGAGGCCCUUCUUCCCCUGCUAAUUCCUACUCACCUUUUACUAUUGCAGUCAGGUAGUACCUUCUGCAAGGACCUGCCUUCGUGCCCACAUAAGUCCUCCCUGGGCCUUGGAUGCCUAUAACAUCUAGGAUGUUCUCACCAAAAUUCUUGGCUGGGCACCUAUUAGCCCCACCUCAUGCACACACUAAAUUCCAAGAGGGCAGGGCCUCAUUCUGCUUUCCCUCUAGGCAUCUAGCACAGCGCAGGUAACAGUGGUGGUGACAUUCACUAGACUGUUGAGGGUGUGGUUACCUUCCUGCCCUUCUCCUGUGCAUUGCUGACAACACGUUUCACUUCAUUGGCAUAGGCCACAGCUGGAUUGGGAUGGUCCUCUCGGUAAGGGCCCCGGUAGGUGUCUGGGAGAGGUGCCUGUAGGGAGUACAAGCACUGUGUCAUUCUGGCUUCGGGGUGGGCACCAACCUGUUGCCAUUGUGGGUAGUGCAUACCACAUGGACCCACUCCUUCUGGCCAUCCAGGUACCGGAACUUGUAUGGACUGAUGUCAAUCAGGGAGCUCAGGUGACCGUGAUAAGCACUGGGGAGAAAAAGGGAGGGCUCAGGCCCCAGUAGCAUGUUCUUAUGAUCUAACCCUGACCACUGCCUAUCCACUGCCAAAGGCAACACAAAGACCCCCAGCUCUUGGACUGGGAACAAGCAUGGGCCUUGUAGUAAGACUUCCUACAAGGCCACUAACUGGCCAUGUCAAAAUACUGAUUGCUUAAUCUCUCUGGGUCCAGUUUUCUCCUCUGUGAAGUGUGUUUAUGGCGUCUCCUUCAGGGUAUAAUGUAUCUUAAUUGGGCUAAUGCUCUAAGCCCAGGCCUGGGUCUUCUGCACAUCAGAUACUCAAUACAUAGGAGCUAUAGCUGGAACAGUUUGAAUAUCUAAAUGAAGGACUUUCAAUUCCUUACAAAGCAUGUCCUCCUCCCCAGGAGCUGCCCUCCCGGGACAGUGGCCUGAUGAUAGAGUCCCUGGGAGGUAUCUUUGGGGCAUAGUCCUGUGCCUGUCAUGUUUCAAGGCUUUCAUCCUCUGUCUAAGGUAGCCAAGGUCAGAGUCUCACUGAUCCUCAAUAAGCCUAUGGGCCUGAAAGUGGCAGGCAGGGCUAUGAGUUUCACUUACUGGUCUAAUACCACCACGUCCUGGUGUCCCGUGUAUUGGCGAGCCAGCCGCAGGGCCAGGUCAUUGGCUUCUGACCUAUAACAGUAAAGGUGGGCACGGCUUGGACAGUCACUCAAAGGUUCUCCACAGAGAAACCAUGUGAACAGAGGAACCCUUCCAGCAGCAAGAAGAUUCUUGGACUUCAUUCAUUUAGUCAUUUGUUUGAUAGACAUAAAGUGCCUCCUAUAUGCUCAGCCCUGUUAUCACCCUCCCUCUUAAAGCCCUUCAGUGACACUCUGGGGUAAAAAGAGUAGGUAAAACAGGAGGCCCUGGCCUCUUUGAAACUUACAUUCUGAUGUGUCAUGAAAGCCAAAAAAACAAAGAGUGAUCAUUUUUCUAAGUGCUAGCUGUGGGUCCAGCGUACUAAGGGAGAAUCGGAUGGGCGCUACUUUAAAUAAGAAUGUGUUAGGGGUUGAACUGUGUUGCUCCAAAAUUGUUAUGUUGAAGCUCUAACUCCCAGUAUCUUAUAUGUGACUUUAUGUGGAAAUAAAGCUUUUGAAGAGGUAGGGUAAAAGAAGGGCUUCAGUGUAUCCUGAUCCAAUCUGACUGGUGUCCUUAGAAGGAGAGGAAAUCUGGAUGCACAGAGACAUCAGGGAUGUUUCCACACAGAUGAAAGGCCACAUGAGGGCACAAGAAGGAGGCAGCUCUCUGUGAGUCAAGGAGAGAGGCUUCAGAAGAAACCAAUCCUACUGACACCUUGAUCUUGGACUUUUUGCUUCUUAGAAAUAUGAUAUAGUACACUUUAUUGCUGAAGUCCCCUAGUCUGACAUUUUGUUAUGGCCACCCUAGCUAGGGUCAAGAGUGGCUCUUUAAGGAGGUAACACCUGAGUCUUGAGGGAGACCAUUCCAGGCAGAGGGAGCAGCAUGCACAAAGGCCCUGAUGGAGGCAGGAACUUGUGUCAGAGAAGCAAGAGAAGACAAGCAAGGCCAGAGCCUAGGGAGGGCAAGCCAGGAGAAGUGCAGAGUGCUGCAGGGGCCACAUUCACAGGACUGGGAAGGAGCCUGGGUUUUCUUUUCAGUGACAACAAAGCCAAUGAGGAGUUUUAAUCAGAGAAAGCACAUGAUUCAAAUCCCAUUUUAGGAGGCAGUCUGUAGCUAUAUGUCAAAAGGGAAUGAAAGUGGAAGUGAGGAGACCUAGGAGGUCCAGGUGAGAGCAGGGGAUGGGGAAGUGCUUGGAGUAAAGGGAUUUUUUGGAGACAGACAAGAUGGGACUGAAGCAGAAAUGCAUGUAUUUAGUUUCUUCCUUGAGCAGAGAUGUGGAUAGUGAUGCCAUUUAUGAGGUGAGCUGAUGUGAGGAUGGCAGUGGUGGGGCUGGGAAGGCCGGGAGUCGGUGGCUGGGAACAUCAGGGAGAACCAGUGUAAUGGUCUCACACUAGGUGUCGCAGAAGACAUGUCUUGAUUGUUUCUGGAUAUGUGAAGUUGGAGACGUUUGUCAGAUGUCAAAUGGACAGUUAGAACCUUGAGUCUGGAACACAUGGGAAGCAUCUGGGCUUGUGAUAUAAACUGGGAGUCAGCAGCACACGGAUAUUUAAUACUGAGGGAAUGGAUGAGAUCAUGGAGCAAGAGGACUCAGAGAGAAAAAAAAUGGCCCAGGACCAGUCCAGAGGAAUAUAGCAAGAGGUAUUGGCAAAGGAUUCAGAGGGGAGUGGCCAGAAAAGCUGGCAGGAUACCAGGAAGGCACCAGAAACCAGAGGAAAAAAUUUCCAGAGCACGGUCACUCUGUCAAAUAUUGCUGGAAGACAGAUAAGUCAAAGGUAGCCAAGAUUACUGGAUUUGGUAACAUAAAAGUCAUUGGCACCUACACAGAAUGAAUUUGGUGGGUUAAUAAGCCAAUAGGAAUAGCUCUUCCUCCUCUGCUGAGAAAGUACCAACCCUGCACCAAUUCCCUGCUCUUCCAACUGGGGUUCCAGUUUAGUCUGUCACUUCUUAGCUCCUUUCUUUGAACUGUUUCCUUAUCUGUCAAAUUAAGAUUGUAAAUUUUACUUCCUAGAAGUAAUUCAGGGAACUGAUGAAUGAUAAAUGGCAAUGGCAAUAAUAAUCAUCAUUACUAGGCUGGGCAAGUGCUCAGUGGUAGAGAGAUUGUCUACCAUUUAUAAGGUUCUGGGUUGCUUCCAUACCACCAUAAAAACAAACAAAAAUCACUACUAUAAUCCAAAUGCCACUACCUACAAUUGUUGGAAUAUUCUCUCUCAGAUAUGCCAUGAUCAUCUGCCUGAUUCUGCUGUCACUGCCACUCUCAUUGUAAGCUACAAUCACCUCCUACCUGGCCCCUGAAUUGGCACCAAACCCUGUCAACUCUUGCUUUCUGCCAGCCCUGAUGACAUCACUUCCCUAACUAAAACCCUCUGAUGUCUUCCCAGUGCUCUGAGGAUACAGUGUCCUCACUUGAUGGAUAAGGUCCUUGGGUGAUGGGCCCUGGGUCCCUCUCCAGAGUUAGCUCACACCCUUUCCUCUUCCUCUUUCAGUUCUUCAAGUGUGCCAGGAUGCUGUGCCCCUUCCUAUGACAGGGCCUUUGCACAAGCUGUUCCGUGUGGUAACCGACCUAGACAAGAGUAUUUGUGGUGGAGUAGGCAGCACCCUUCCUUCCUUUUCCCCUAGUUUUCUCCUGAGCUUUUAGCUUAACAUUGUUUCCUCAGGGAAACCUUCCUGACCUUCCAGAACAGGUCAGGUCCCCCCAAAUUUUUGGGCCUCAUUAUACCAUAUGCUUUUUCUCCAGACAAUAACUUUUCUUGGUAAUUUUAUAUUUCUUUGAAGAAUCAUUUGAUGUUUCUGCUUCUACUAAGUAGGGGUCUUUGGGCCUUAUGGAAGGCAGAAAUAAAGGAACACAUUAAUUCAUCAAGCCCCAACAAUGAUCCUGGAAGAGAGGCAAUGGCAUCCUUUACUAAAAGAGAAGAAAACUGGAUCCAACAGAAAAAGAACCAGGAUCCACACUUAGGAAGCACAGGAGCCUCUCCCUGAAGCCUACACCAUGCUGUGCCUAUCACCUGAAAUGGUCAAUGUAGCUGAAUCCCUGCCAUAAUCCCUGCACUUGGCGAUGGCUGUGCUGCAGUGCUGUUCAUGGCUGGGCUGUUUGUCACUCUCUGAGCUCAUCAUCAGUCCCAGGUGGAACUGAAUCCACACACCUAGACCUCUGACUCCUGCCUGAGACUUCUACUGCUACUUGACAAAGACUCGGCGUUCUCUGCACAUGGAUGUGAGUCAGCUCAAGCCAGGCUCUCUACAACUGGCAUCAGAUUCACAGCCUCUCCUGCCCCACCAGCCUGAGGUGAUACUGACCAUGAGCCACAUUGUUGAUGCAAUCGAUGUAUUCUCCCCC